rnacentral:lncRNA from 1 species
CCUAAAUAUAGUUUAUUUAAUUACAUGUCUACAAGUAACUUUUUAACUAACCUUUUGUUUAUUUUCAUAAUAUCCAUCUAAGGAAACAAUUCAGCUAUUCUUAUACAAAUAUAUGUGAACUCAGAGGACUCAACCAAUCAAUAUUCUGUCUGGCCCAAGAAAAAGGAACUGCAUCCCCAGGCAACUCAAAAACUCUAUUUUGAAGUGAGGAAAGAACCAGCACUUCCUUAACUUCCAAAAUCAUAUGGAUAAGUGCCACAGAAUCUAGGAACAUGAAGAGCCAAAGUUGUAUACAUGUGGGAGGCAAGACUGCUGAUCCUAGAGGCUGUGUGGAGUGCUGGUAAAAAGCCCAUGCUCUGGAGCGUAGCCAAAUCAAUCAAGUGGAAGAAAGGAUAUCAGUGACUGAAGAUCAACUCAAUGAAAUAAAGCUAGAAGCCUUGGGACACCCAGAUAUCCUGCCUUCCCAGCCUUGACUCCAUAGGAAAGCAGUGGAAAGAGGGAAGAUAUUGCUAUGCCAUUCUGCCAUUCUUUCUCUAGUGACACAAGGAUGGAUCCAGAAACUCUGGACCUCAAAAUAACCUGUGGUAAUAUGAGGAGAUGAGAAUCCAGCAUCUGCAUCUUACAGAGAUCUCCAAACAUAAAAUGUGAAGGGGGAAAAUAACAAC